UCCUCUUUGCCACCGGGUAAAGAGGGUCAGGUGUUCUUUUGCACUCCGUUAGGUCAAAGAAGGAGUGCAAAGGAACACCUUUUUUGA
rnacentral:ncRNA from 1 species